rnacentral:rRNA from 1 species
GAGACAGCAGUAGCCGCGGUAAUACGGAGGGUGCAAGCGUUAAUCGGAAUUACUGGGCGUAAAGCGCACGCAGGCGGUCUGACAAGUCAGAUGUGAAAUCCCCGGGCUUAACCUGGGAACUGCAUUUGAAACUGUCAGGCUGGAGUCUUGUAGAGGGGGGUAGAAUUCCAGGUGUAGCGGUGAAAUGCGUAGAGAUCUGGAGGAAUACCGGUGGCGAAGGCGGCCCCCUGGACAAAGACUGACGCUCAGGUGCGAAAGCGUGGGGAGCAAACAGGAUUAGAUACCCCGGUAGUCCCUGUCUCUUAUAC